CCUUGAGAGCGGCCUUCUUUGGACAGUCAUUGAUCAUAUGUGGACCCUCACAGUGGAAGCACCUUAUAGGCCCACUCUUUCUCUUGUCCCAAGGUUUCUUACCAUCGCCGUUCCUAGUGGGCCUUUCUUUAUCUCUCCCACUAUUACCCUUUAAUCUAGGUUUAGAAGAAUUGGAAUUGUCUUUCCUCCCACCAAAUUCAGCAAGUGAUUCUGCUACUGACAUAGCCUUGGUGAGUUCUUGAACUCCUCGGCGCUGCAACUCUUGCUUCGCCCACGGUUUUAAUCCGUCCAUAAAGGAAAAGAAUGCCUCUUUCUCCCCCAUAUCUGAGAUUUGGAGUAUAAGCUCGCUAAACUCCUGUACAUACUCCCUCACAGUGCCUUGUUGCGCAAGCCGACGCAACCUUGCCCGAGCCUCAUCCUCGGCAUACUCUGGGUAAAAUUGUGCUUUGAACUCACAUCGAAACUCCUCCCAUGUUUUGAUUUCAGACCCACCACGUCUCACAUCAGUGGACCUACGACGCCACCACAACAAAGCAACGUCAGAUAAAUACAUCGCAGCAGUAGUUACCUUAGUGACAUCCUCCGUGAUGCCUUUGGCACAGAAGUAUUGCUCGAUUCCCCACAAAAAGUUGUCCACAUCUCUUGCGGACCUUGUUCCCUUAAACUCUUUGAGCUUGGGAACAUCAAUAUUGGGCUUGGGUGCGGCAGCCGCUAACCCACCAUUGCCCAAGGCAACCUUGUAGAUUGUGAGUUCACCCUUGAGCUCCGCAAUCUCUCCCUUCAAGGCCACCACCAUAGCCUCAAUAGCAUCAUCUCUACCAGUCAACUGUUUCAUAUUAUCCGUCACAUACUCUUUAAGCUGCUCCUGCAUAGACUGCAGUCCAUCAUGGAGCCUAUCAUCAACAUCUUCAACCCUCUCCUUGAUAUCCCCCAUUGAACUCUCGAGAGUGACGACGCGAUCUUCUAAAGCUGACAAUAUGUCCCUUGAGCGACUGGCUUUCCUAGCCCUCCCACGGGUCUCCAUUCCCUCAACUUCUUUUGACAUCUUUCAACGGUGGCUUCGAACCUUAGCUCUGAUACCAACUGUCACGGACUUAGAGUUUUCCCAUGCGAUCCGUGCGGCCUUAGGCAGUUUCUCUGCUUAAAAUGCCUAAGUCAGCCUAACUUGCAAAAAAAAAAGAUUCAGCAGCAAAAACGCCCAAGUCAACUUUACUCGCAAUAAUAAAGGAUUUAAUAGAAUUCCCUUAAGAUUUUCAAAAAGAACAGCAGAAGAACGAAGUAAGAACGAGCCUUGAAAGAUGAACAAAAGCAAGAACACGUGAGAGAAAAGUUUGAGUGAAUACUCUCAAAAUUCUUAUUAAUAACUGAAUAAAUAUACAAUGAGCAAAGAGGUCUCUAUUUAUAGUUGAGCCUCACAGUAUAUCAAUAGCUAUAAUUAAAAGCUGAAUACAAUUAGAACUCUAAGCUUACAUAACCAGCUAUAUACAAUUAGAACUCUAAGAUUCCAUAAUUAUAUCUUCUAGAACACUUCCCAUUUCUAUCAGGCUCUUGAGAUAGGCUUUUAAUCUCUCCAAUCACCGGGCCAGUUUGGUUGGGCCAGUUUGGUUGGGCUAAAUGACCUCCCUUGAACACGAUGGAUCGCACCAGUUUGUCAUGGUUGCGAGCUCCAACGCGCAACCCAUGACAUUCUCCCCCACUUGUUCUAGCGACGCCCUCGUCGCAUCCUCCUUAUGGAACUGGUCAAUCUUCCCUUGGAACUGCCACAAUGCCUCGGCAGGUUCCCAACUUGCUUCGCUAUCAGGAAGUCCCUUCCAUCGAACUAAGUACUCAUGCUGUGGUCGGUGGUACUUUCGUCUAAUUACCCGAUCUGCCUCAAUGUUUUCUACUUCACGAUCAUACGAGACUUUUACCCCCAUCGGUGCUCGUUCAGACUUGCCUCGAUUCGGAUCUUCUUGAUCCUCAUGAAACGGCUUAAGCAUGCUUACAUGGAAGACUGGGUGUACUUUAAGUUUUGGUGGCAACUCCAGCUUGUAGGCCACCUUGCCCACUCUCUUCACAACUUUAAACGGCCCUUCAUACCUUCGCACAAGACCCUUGUGCAAACCAGUAUAUCGUAAAAUCAAGUGUAGUUUAGCAAGGACUGAAUCACCCACUUGAAAUUGUACAUCCCUUCGGUUCUGAUCGGCCCACUUCUUGUUACGCUUAUUUGCCUUGUGUAAACAAGCUCUAGUCAAGUCAUUCUUCUCUUGCCAAUCUUUUGCGAAUCUAUAGGCUGCCGGAUUUGGUCCUGUAUAAUGGGUCACAACAGCGUUGGGUGUGAGUGGCUGUUGACCCGUCACUAUUUCAAAUGGACUUUGAUUCGUGGCCCCACUUCGCUGCAAGUUGUAUGAAAAUUAGGCCACAUCCAGCAACUUUAGCCAAUCCCUUUGUGUGGCACUCACAUAGUGCCGAAGAUACGUCUCUAACAGUGCAUUUACUUGUUCAGUUUACCCAUCGGUUUGUGGAUGCAUGCUCGUGGAGAAGUUUAAAUCUGAGCCCAUUGACUUGAACAACUCCGUCCAGAACCGACCAGUAAAUCGACCAUCUCGAUCGCUGAUAAUAGACAGUGGCACUCCCCAAUAUUUCACCACGUGUCUAAGGAAUAACCGAGCUGCUUCCUCAGCAGGGCACUCUUUGGUCGCCGGAAUAAAAGUCGCAUACUUUGAAAACCUGUCCACCACAACAAGAAUACUAGGAAACCCGUCAGACUUAGGCAAACCAAUAAUAAAAUCUAUGGAUAAACUCUCCCAUGGCCUUUCUGAGACUGGCAGGGGUUGAAGCAAGUCGGCUGGAGUCUUUAACUCAACCUUGUCUUGUUGGCACACUAGACAAGUUUUCACAUAGGUUUCCACAUCAGCACCCAUGUGAGGCCAAUAAUAGCGAUCCUCCAAAAGGGCCAAAGUGCGAUGCAUCCCUGGAUGGCCUGCCCAUUUCGAGUCAUGACAUUUCUUCAUGACUUCCUUACGGAGUUUCCCAUAAUGGGGCACAUAGAGGCGGUGUCCAUGAGUGUAUACUAGCUCCCCAUCAAGCCAAAAUCUUUUUGUUUUUCCCUCUUGGCAAGCUCAAUCAAAUUUUUGGCCGUAGGAUCAUGGGACAAUCCCUCUCGAAUGCGUUCCAACAAAGAGCCAUCAGGUUGACUGAUUGCUGUGAAUUCCAUCUUUCGACUAAGUGCAUCAGUAACAUUGUUGGCACUUCCUGGUUUAUAUUCCAUUGUGAAAUCAAACUCUGCUAGUAAAACCUGCCAACGAGCCUGCUUCGGAGACAACUUUUUCUGGGUUAGAAAGUAACUAUUGGCAACAUUGUCGGUAAGGACCACGAACCUGGAACCCAAUAAAUAAUGUCUCCAUGUGCGCAAGCAGUGUACUACUGCAGUCAUCUCUUUCUCUUGGACCGUAUAUCUACGUUUCGUCUCGUUAAGCAUUUGACUCUCGAAAGCAAUUGGGUGUCCAUCUUGCAUCAGUACUCCCCCAAUAGCAUAAUCUGAUGCAUCCGUACGUACCUCGUAAGGCUUCGUAAAAUCUGGCAAGACAAGUACGGGCUCCCUCGUCAUUUCUUGCUUCAAUUGGUUGAAGGCCUUCUCACAUUCUGAAUUCCAAUCCCAUACCUUCCCCUUCUUCAACAUGUCCGUCAAGGGAGUGGUAAUUUUGGAGUAGCCUUCGACAAAGCGGCGAUAGUAAUUUGCCAAUCCAAGGAAAGAUCUCAACUCUGUUACCUUGGUUGGAGGCUCCCACUCUGAAAUGGCUCUAAUCUUAUUUUUAUCCAUUCGGAUCUUACUGCCUCCCACAAUGUGGCCUAAGAAUGACACCUCUUGUUGGGCAAAUGAGCAUUUCUCCUCCUUGACGAACAGCUCAUUUUCCCUCAAAGUCUGGAACACCUCCCUCAAGUGUCUUACGUGCUCUUCAAGCGACUUGCUAUAGACCACAAAAUCGUCAAGGUAAACAACCACAAAACGAUCAAGAAAGGGUUGAAGUACCUUAUUCAUUAGGGUGCAGAAUGUAGCUGGAGCAUUCGUGAGUCCGAAAGGCAUCACAAGGAACUCAUACGAACCGUACCGUGUCACACAAGCUGUCUUUGGUUCGUCCCCCUCGGCUAUCCAAACUUGAUGAUACCCCGAUCUCAAAUCUAACUUGGUAAACCAUCUUGCAUUACCAAGCUGAUCGAACAAAUCUGCGAUAAGAGGAAUAGGAUACCUAUUCUUUACGGUGAUCUUGUUUAGAGCUCGAUAAUCGAUGCACAUUCUCAAAGACCCAUCGUGUUUCUUUUGGAACAACACUGGCGCACCAUAUAGGGAUUUAGAUGGUCUAAUGAAUCCCGCAUCCAAAAGUUCCUUCAAUUGUUUCCGCAACUCUUCUAAUUCUGGCGGAGACAUACGAUAGGGGGCCAUUGCUGGCGGCACCACAUUGGACACUAACUCGAUUUUGUGGUCCACCUCCCUCUUGGGUGGCAAACUUUUUGGCAAUUGAGCAGGCAUUACAUCUCGAAAUGAUUGUAGCAAUUGUCCCACUUCUUUCGGGGUCUCACUAACAGACUCAGCGAUCUCUUCGAUCUUCAAGGUGGCUAAAUAUGAGACUUCAUUUCUCUGUACACCUUUAGCAAACUGAAUUGCUGAUAGUUUUUUUCCCUCAAAGCUUCUCUUCCUUGUCACUUUUACCAUGCAUUGAUGUUUUGCAUCUGAAAUCACCAUGUAAUUGCUCGAAGGGGCAAUAAGAGCUUUAACCUGAUCAAUGAAGCUUAGUCCUACCACAAAAUCAUAGUCAUCAAGUGGUAUUACCUUAAUGGAUACCUUCCCUGACCAAUUGUCGAGCUGAAGAUCCACUCCCUUUGUAACCCCCUUGAUUGGAACACAUUCCGAGUUCACUGUUUUGAUCCGACCCCCUUCAUUAUCUAUCUUGAGGCCCAGUUUACAAGCAGCCUCCUCAGACAUGAAUAAAUCAGAAGCGCCUGUGUCAACGAGCGCAUUCAAUUUUCUGCCGGCCACAAUGAUGUCUACAAACAUCAAACCAUGGCUCAUUCUAUCUUCGACACCCCCUAGUAUUGAUCCAAGGUUGUUAUCCUCCACAUCGGACUCCCCCUUUACUUCCAUAGCCUUGAGAGCGGCCUUCUUUGGACAGUCAUUGAUCAUAUGUGGACCCUCACAGUGGAAGCACCUUAUAGGCCCACUCUUUCUCUUGUCCCAAGGUUUCUUACCAUCGCCGUUCCUAGUGGGCCUUUCUUUAUCUCUCCCUACUAUUACCCUUUAAUCUAGGUUUAGAAGAAUUGGAAUUGUCUUUCCUCCCACCAAAUUCAGCAAGUGAUUCUGCU
rnacentral:lncRNA from 1 species